CUAUUCACUCGGUGAUACUUAUGAUUUCUACAACUUAUACUUGUGGGAGCAUGGUUUCAGAAUUAGGUGUGGAAAGAGCCACCUGAGUGUAGAGAAAUCAAAAUGAAUGCAGGAAAUUGUGUGCGGAUGCUCGGGCAAACCGUCAUCGGAGAACACUAAAUUAUGCCGAGGCGAAUGCCCUGCAAUGAUCGGGUUGCUUGAAACAGCGGACAAUGGAUGGUACAUAAUUGAGCAGGGAGUGAAACAUAACCACACAAUGGCUGAAAAUUAUGGAUAAAAAGUCUUCUGGCCUUCACACAAGUACAUAAAUGUGUACACAAGAGAUCUAGUCCGCCAGCUAAGGGAAAACAACAUAAAUGUUGUAAAAGCAUACAACAUAAUUGCAGCAUUCUUUGGGAAUGAAGGGGAUUUGGUGUUCGCAAAACAGCCACUUCAAGUUUGGGAACUAAGGAGCAGGCAAACGACGAUGUCUGAAAACCGUCGAGGCAUUCGAUGAACUAGGAGCUAAGGACCCAGACUUCAUGUUUAGGGUGCAAACAGACGAUAAAGUUCGAAUCAAGAAUCUUAUGUGGACCACAGGGGCAAUGCAAUACAAGUUCUUUUGGUAUUCGACAUUACAUACAAGACCAACUUGAAUGACAUGGCAUUUGGUUUGUUUGUGAGGGGUAAAUAACCACUUCAAAGAGCAUUUGGCUGGUGUCAUGUUUGUGAGGGGUAAACAACCACUUCAAAGAGCAUUUGGCUGGUGUCAUGUUCCGGGACGAUCAGGUUGAGAACUUUGAAAUGGGUUUUUGCAAAGUUUGUCUGAAUGAUGGGAGGAAUUCCAGCUAAAACAAUAGUAACUUGUAAGUUGAUGUCUGAAAACAUUUUUCUUUUUUGCUACGGGGAAGAAGAUGUGUCCAAGAUGAUCUGGGAGGAGUCGGCUAAAUUAAUGGCAAUAGGCAAUACUAGUGGUCCAGGUUAGUAUGAUGAACGUACAUAAGAGAUUCUUUGUCAUGUACCGUUGGACCAAGUGGUGCUGCAAAGCAUUGAUUAUCUCUGCCCAACAGGGACCAAGCACUGUUCAAAAAGAGAGAUACGAAGGGGAUACAUUGUUGUAUACACUGACAAAUGGAGCAGCCGGCAGAAGGACACAAAAAUAUUUUUUUUUGUGAAACUUGGCGCGAGGGUGCAGUCGGCUUGGAAGACCACGGCAGGGCGUCCAAUGGCACAUACAUCGGGAUUCGGAAGAUGGUAGAAAGGAGCUGCACCAACGAGCCAACUGUGCGCAUGUGAGCCUGUGAUACCACCGGCUUGGAAGACCACGGCAGGGCGUCCAAUGGCACAUACAUCGGGAUUCGGAAGAUGGUAGAAAGGAGCUGCACCAACGAGCCAACUGUGCGCAUGUGGGCCUGUGAUACCAGUACGACCACCAAAGCCCCCACAACUCCCAUUUCUAGCAUCUGCAGAUUAUCUUUUUCACACAGGACACAAAUUUUUUUUUUCUUGUGAAACUUGGCGCGAGGGUGCAGCCGGCUUGGAAGACCACGGCAGGGCGUCCAAUGGCACAUACAUCGGGAUUCGGAAGAUGGUAGAAAGGAGCUGCACCAACGAGCCAACUAUGCGCAUGUGAGCCUGUGAUACCAGGGUUUGCACGAGCCCAUCAAUGGGUUCACUAUAUCCGCCCCGACUGGUUUCGGCCCAGCCACAGAAGAACCCCCGGCAGCAUUCUAAACAGGCCAGCUUUUUCAACGACGAGGGCUAGCUUAUCCCAGAAUGUGAACUCCGCACCUUCUGAUUGCUAGCUCCAAGAGAGUAGGAGACGCCGUGCCUCGCUGAAACAUCCCUGCGGCAUGCACAAGUUACAGCAUAACACAUGGCAUCAGGCAACCACACGUGUAAUGCAAGAUCGGUUUGUAUGACGAUGAAGAUGAUGCACAACUUUACUCAGGCUGCAAGCAGGGUGUAUUAACGAAGAGCUUCCUUCACGUCGGGCUUCUCCGGAUUCUGCUCCGAGGCCUUCUGAGCGCUAGCAUAAUCGUAACACAAGCGCCGAUCAGAUAAGCUGUCGAUAAGCUAAAUAUACAUGUGAAUCGGUUCAGCCACACACGGGAUAGAUAAUGUGUCGAGAUUCAAGAGUGUGGACAACUAAAUGUGACUUUCUGAGUUUCUAUAGUACGGAGUAGCUAUUUUCAGGAGGGAGAAAUGAUAGAAGUGU